rnacentral:rRNA from 1 species
CAGCCACCGCGGGAAUACGAAGGGGGCUAGCGUUGCUCGGAAUGACUGGGCGUAAAGGGCGCGUAGGCGGCGGCCAAAGUCAGGCGUGAAAUUCCCGGGCUCAACCUGGGGGCUGCGUUUGAUACUUGGUUGCUUGAGUGGGGAAGAGGGUCGUGGAAUUCCCAGUGUAGAGGUGAAAUUCGUAGAUAUUCGCAAGAACACCAGUGGCGAAGGCGGCUCACUGGCCCAUAACUGACGCUGAGGCACGAAAGCGUGGGGAGCAAACAGGAUUAGAUACCCCCGUAGUCCCUGUCUCUUAUAC